rnacentral:pre_miRNA from 13 species
CUGGGCGGGCGGCUGUUAAGACUUGCAGUGAUGUUUAAUUCCUCUCCACGUGAACAUCACAGCAAGUCUGUGCUGCUUCCCGUCCCCAU